CAAAUCCUAUAAAAGGGCCCCACCCCUAUCUUCCUUUGCUGACUCUCUUUUCAGACUCAGCCCACCUGCACCCAGGUGAAAUAAACAGCUUUAUUGCUCACACAAAGCCUGUUUGGUGGUCUCUUCACAUGGAUGGGCAUGAAAUUUGUUGCCGUGACUCAGAUUGGGGGACCUCCCUUCGGAGAUCGAUCCCCUGUCCUCCUGCUCUUUGCUCCGUGAGAAAGGUCCACCUACAACCUCAGGUCCUCAGACUGAUGAGCCCAAGAAACAUCUCACCAAUUUCAAAUCCAGUAAGCGGCCUCUUUUAACUCUCUUCUCCAACCUCUCUCACUGUCCCUCAACCUCUUUCUCCUUUCAAUCUUGGCGCCACACUUCAAUUUCUCCCUUCUCUUAAUUUUAAUUCCUUUCAUUUUCUGGCAGAGACAAAGGAGACACGUUUUAUCCGUGGACCCAAAACUCCGGUGCUGGUCACAGACUAGGGAUGGCAGCCUUCCCUUUGUGUUUAAUCAUUGCAGGGAUGCCUCUCUGAUUAUUCACCCAGGUUUCAGAGGUGUCAGACCACGCAGGGAUGCCUGCCUUGGUCCUUCACCCUUAGUGGCAAGUCCUGUUUUUCUGGGGGAGGGGCAAGUACCCCAACCCCUUCUCUCCGUGUCUCUACCCCUUCUCCACUUUUCUGGGGGAGGGGCAAGAACCCCUCAACCCCUUCUCCUUCACCCUUAGCAGCAAGUUCCAUUUAUCUAGGGGGCAAGAAACCCCAAUCCCUUAUUUCCAUGCCCCGACCUCUUAUCUCUGCACCCCAAUCCUUAUUUCUGUGCCCCAAAGUCUUAUCUCUGCACCCCAACCCCUUAUUUCCACACCCCAACCCCUUUCCCACUUUUCUGGAGGGUAAGAACCCCUGAACCCCUUCCCUCCAUGUCUCUACUCUCUCUUUUCUCUGGGCUUGCUUCCGUCACUAUAGGCAACCUUCCACCCUCCAUUCCUGCUUCUUCUCUCUUAGCCAGUGUUCUCAAGAACUUAAAACCUCUUCAACUCACACCUGACCUAAAACCUAAAUGCCUUAUUUUCUUCUACAAUGCCACUUGACCCCAAUACAAACUUGACAGUGGUUCCAAAUAGCCAGAAAAUGGCAUUUCCAUUUUUUCCAUCCUACAAGAUCUAAAUAAUUCUUGUUGUAAAAUAGCCAAAUAGUCUGAGGUGCCUGACGUCCAGGCAUUCUUUUACACAUCAGUCCCUCCCUAGUCUCUGUUCCCAAUGCAACUCAUCCCAAAUCUUCCUUCUUUCCCUUCCACCUGUCCCCUCAGUCCCAACCCCAAGUGUCGCUGAGUCUUUCUAAUCUUCCUUUUCUACAGACCCAUCUGAUCUCUCCCCUUCUAGCCAGGCCAAGCUAGGUCCUAAUUCUUCCUCAGCCUCCACUCCUCCACCCUAUAAUCCUUUUAUCACCUCCCCUCCUCACACUCUGUCCAGGUUACAGUUUCCUUCCGUGACUAGCCCUCCCCCACCUGCCCAGCAGUUUACUCUUAAAAAGGUGGCUGGAGCUAAAGGCAUAGUCAAGGUUAAUGCUCCUGUUUCUUUAUCCCAAAUCAGAUAGCGUUUAGGCUCUUUUUCAUCAAAUAUAAAAACCCAGCCCAGUUCAUGGCUCAUUUGGCAGCAACCCUGAGAUGCUUUACAGCCCUAGACCCUAAAAAGUCAAGAGGCCGUCUUAUUCUUAAUACACAUUUUAUUACCCAAUCUGCUCCUGACAUUAAAUAAAACUCCAAAAAUUAAAUUCCGGCCCUCAAACCCCACAACAGGACUUAAUUAACCUUGCCCUCAAGGUGUGCAAUAAUAGAGGCAGCCAAGUAGCAACAUAUUUCUGAGUUGCAAUUCCUUGCCUCCACUGUGAGACAAACCCCAGCCACAUCUCCAGCACACAAGAACUUCCAAAUGCCUAAACCACAGUGGCCAGGCAUUCCUCCAGAACUGCCUCCCCCAGGAGCUUGCUACAAGUGCCAGAAAUCUGGCCACCAGGCCAAGGAAUGCCCGCAGCCUGGGAUUCCUCCUAAGCCAUGUCCCAUCUGUGUGGGAUCCCAGUGGAAAUCAGACUGUUCAACUCACCUGGUAGCCACUCCCAGGGCCCCUGGAACUCUGGCCCAAGGCUCUCUGACUCCUUCCCAGAUCUUCUCGGCUUAGCGGCUGAAGACUAACACUGCCUGAUUACCUCGGAAGCCCUGUAGACCAUCACGGACACCGAGCUUUAAGUAACUCUCACAGUGGAGGAACGUGAAAAUUCCAAAACGGAAGAUCCAGUAGGAUCUGGAGGGCUUCUCAGCCUGGCUGCUGCCACAUAACAACAAGCCUGCCCUAACCAGGAACCAUACCAGAAGAGCAUUUGGAGAAAAGUACUUUCAGCUUAACCUAAGCUGAUACAGAAAAAUACAUCACCAUCAACCUUUUGUCUACUUUUCAAACAUAUGAACUUCUCUCGAUUAUAUACCCAUCAUUCAAAUAAAGACAAUAUUUGAGUCACCAAAAGUGCCGUGCAACCUCCUUUGUCCAACUAAUUGCAUUAUAAACUUUUCUGCAGAAGAAAACACAAGUCCUUUAUUGAUCUUAGGAUGGUUUUACUCUUCUUCUAGCUGACAUCUUCUUCCCUUUCAAUAUUCCAUCACUUAAAUAUUGAUUUUUUCUUGGGGAA
rnacentral:lncRNA from 1 species